UCUCUGACCUACCUUAGCUGACUGUACAUCCUAAGACCCCCAUUUCAGAAGGGGUCCUGCCUCAUGCCCGGGAGGAAGGGAUGCUGUAUCAAGAUGUCAAGAAGAACCUAAAUAAGCAGGGUUUGGAGCGCUUUCGGAUAGCUGAACAUGUGAAGGUUCCUGGAGGGUGGCAUGACUGGGAAGAACAUGGAAGCCCCGCACCCCUUCCCCCAUACCUCGCCUUAUGAAUCUCUUCAUCUGUAUCCUUUGUAAUAUGCUUUAUAAUAAAUGGGUAAAUGUGUUUCUCUGA